CUAUAUGCCUGUUCAAAAUUAUGGCAUGGGCAUCGUUUUUUCAUAUAGUUUUCCUUUCAUUUUGGUUGAGCUUUUUUCGCGGGAAAAUCGAGAAAGAGGUAAGGAGCAUGUCAUUUUUAAAUUCCUAAAAAUACGUUUUGCUUGACCUAUAUUGCCUGCCACAAGAUUGAUGACGCUGAAUGGGAUUUUGUGAAGUUCUAGAAUGUUUUUAAAUAUUCGGAAGUUGGGAUCGAAACGGGCAUUAGAAAAUUGGCAUUUUUUGGCAAUAAUUGAGAACAACAAUGAAAACUUACCUUUAGAAAUGUUUUUUUAUUCAAAAGUGCAGAAAAAACGUAUUUUGCACUGUUUUUCUACGCCAGAAGUACCGUAGUGACAUCAAUGCGGAGUUUCCCCGUGUGUUAAGUUCAAACACAAAUACCUAACGAACUGACAAGAUGAACGAUCUUAGACUACGGUAGGAUAUAU
rnacentral:lncRNA from 1 species